rnacentral:rRNA from 1 species
GAACGCUGGCGGCAGGCCUAACACAUGCAAGUCGAACGGUAACAGGAAGCAGCUUGCUGCUUUGCUGACGAGUGGCGGACGGGUGAGUAAUGUCUGGGAAACUGCCCGAUGGAGGGGGAUAACUACUGGAAACGGUAGCUAAUACCGCAUAACGUCGCAAGACCAAAGAGGGGGACCUUAGGGCCUCUUGCCAUCGGAUGUGCCCAGAUGGGAUUAGCUAGUAGGUGGGGUAAUGGCUCACCUAGGCGACGAUCCCUAGCUGGUCUGAGAGGAUGACCAGCCACACUGGAACUGAGACACGGUCCAGACUCCUACGGGAGGCAGCAGUGGGGAAUAUUGCACAAUGGGCGCAAGCCUGAUGCAGCCAUGCCGCGUGUAUGAAGAAGGCCUUCGGGUUGUAAAGUACUUUCAGCGGGGAGGAAGGGAGUAAAGUUAAUACCUUUGCUCAUUGACGUUACCCGCAGAAGAAGCACCGGCUAACUCCGUGCCAGCAGCCGCGGUAAUACGGAGGGUGCAAGCGUUAAUCGGAAUUACUGGGCGUAAAGCGCACGCAGGCGGUUUGUUAAGUCAGAUGUGAAAUCCCCGGGCUCAACCUGGGAACUGCAUCUGAUACUGGCAAGCUUGAGUCUCGUAGAGGGGGGUAGAAUUCCAGGUGUAGCGGUGAAAUGCGUAGAGAUCUGGAGGAAUACCGGUGGCGAAGGCGGCCCCCUGGACGAAGACUGACGCUCAGGUGCGAAAGCGUGGGGAGCAAACAGGAUUAAAUACCCCUGGUAGUCCACGCCGUAAACGAUGUCGACUUGGAGGUUGUGCCCUUGAGGCGUGGCUUCCGGAGCUAACGCGUUAAGUCGACCGCCUGGGGAGUACGGCCGCAAGGUUAAAACUCAAAUGAAUUGACGGGGGCCCGCACAAGCGGUGGAGCAUGUGGUUUAAUUCGAUGCAACGCGAAGAACCUUACCUGGUCUUGACAUCCACGGAAGUUUUCAGAGAUGAGAAUGUGCCUUCGGGAACCGUGAGACAGGUGCUGCAUGGCUGUCGUCAGCUCGUGUUGUGAAAUGUUGGGUUAAGUCCCGCAACGAGCGCAACCCUUAUCCUUUGUUGCCAGCGGUCCGGCCGGGAACUCAAAGGAGACUGCCAGUGAUAAACUGGAGGAAGGUGGGGAUGACGUCAAGUCAUCAUGGCCCUUACGACCAGGGCUACACACGUGCUACAAUGGCGCAUACAAAGAGAAGCGACCUCGCGAGAGCAAGCGGACCUCAUAAAGUGCGUCGUAGUCCGGAUUGGAGUCUGCAACUCGACUCCAUGAAGUCGGAAUCGCUAGUAAUCGUGGAUCAGAAUGCCACGGUGAAUACGUUCCCGGGCCUUGUACACACCGCCCGUCACACCAUGGGAGUGGGUUGCAAAAGAAGUAGGUAGCUUAACCUUCGGGAGGGCGCUUACCACUUUGUGAUU